AGAAAAAAAACACUUUAGUUUGCAUCCCAACCGUAAACAGGACACACACACACACACACACACACACACACACACACACACAUAGUAGAAAAGGAAGACCUCAAUCAUCAACCAAUCAGGGUAUGUGAGAUGACUAGGCAAGGGGCUUUUGAGGCUCCGUCGCAACCCUCUUUGUUAUGCCAGUGGCUGUGAGUAACCCUUGCUCAGAAUUAUUCCCCUCGGCGGCACCUCCUGGUAAUCAGUGCUCGUCUGACUCGGCCGCUCGGGUGGUGAGUGACAUGACCAAGUCCUCGUCGCCUCCCCGCCGCCUGCCAACACCUCCCUAGGCAGCCGUGACGAGAGGACAAAGCACUGAGACGCGGAGACAAAUCUUACUAAUUAGAGUCGAUUGAGUUAUAUUUUACACACACACACACACACACACACACACACACACACACAGACAGGCAUAGUGUACGGCGUUGUGACCUCUACGUGUACAAGGAGGGCAAGUCUGGAUGCACAGCGGGUAAGACAAGACGACAGGAACAAGACUGCUGCUGGACGGGUUAUGUAAGGUUUGAGGUGACAGAGGCGUCGAGUUACCGGGCGUGGAGCGGGUUUGGAAAUGAGGUACUGUGGCGUAGAGGGAAUAUAAGAAGAGAAAGCUUGUAGGGGUUGGUUAUCAAGGGAACAGACAUAUCGGUAUCAAAACGCGUCGCACGGUGUUGAUAAAGCGAUAAAUUAAUAAUGUUAGCCUUGACAAACACACCACUACAAAAUGACUUGCUUGAUUUGCUUUGUUUAGUCAGUGUCUUAAGUUUAUGGACCAUGUUACAAGACAUUUCGCCGCCCAAAAAACACAUAUUUAACUAGGCUUUCGUAGAAGUUGUGGUAAUUCCCAGGGGUAGUUUUAUGACCCUGGUGGUAGUGUGACCCUUCCUCUGUACCGUGAACCUAAAGAAACACUCAUUAGAACCCGACUGAUCCCCUCUUUGACGUUUAGAAAUAGCUGAUUUGAGAAACGAAAGUGUCUUAAAAUACCAACCUAUAUUUCCACACAAGCUUAUCCAUACAUUCUACACAGGCGCUUCAGAGUGAGUAUGAGAGCUAUGCGAGAUGACAAUCACAUUAAAUCUCUCUCCAUUGAAGCGUUGAAAGGGUAAAACGGGCAACAUUCCAAGGUCAGUUAGCGCGUCAGGGUCCUAUAGUGGAUUAGCUGCUUAUUUUUCCAUGUUCACCUCCAAUGCUCUUCUCCUCCUCCUCUUCCUCCUCCUCCUUCACCUUUCCUGUCCUGCGUUUCUGACUCGUAGAUUAGAGUAGAUGGUAGCUACAACAAACAGCCUAGUUAGGACGAAGAUGUCUGUUGCUGUUUGCUUUUCCUUUGCAUUCCUCUUCCUCCUUUCUUUCCUUCACUUCCUGCGCUCUCUCAUGUUCCUCUUCCCUUUCCCUUCUCACAUGUUUCCUCUCCUCCCCCUCUUCCUCUUCCUCCUUUUCCUUCACUUCCUGCACCCUCGUAUGUUCCUCUUCCCUUUCCCUGUUAUAUAUGUUUCCUCUCCUCUCCCUCUUCUUCCUCCUCCUCCCCCUCUUUCUCUCGCUCAAGUAACUCUCUUUACUCGUAUAUUUAUCCACUAUUUGCUUCCUAACGGCCCUCCACACACCCCUAUCCUGUACCAUCACUGCUCGCCCGCAUGCAGGGAGGAGGAACUUUGCAGUGAGGAAGCAUCAACUGGUGUCCUGGUUCGACCGUCGUCCAGCAUUACCAGAUUGUCGUACUAGGAAUGCUUUUUUUCGUCUGCUUGAGGCCCAAACCUGUCGAGCCUACACUGAUAACGAUAUACAUUUACAAUUAGAGUUCAGAUGGUUAAUUAUCGAGGUUUUUCUGCACUUGUUAUUGGUCAGAAACAGGAAAAUACCAUGUUCUGAGUACGAUAAUCUGGUAACGCUGCGUCGUCUGCUGUCCUUAACACCUAUGAGCAGGUAGACGACUCCGCCCUCCUGUCUUUCCUCCUGCCUUCCCACCCUUACCUCACCUCACCCACCGACGAUCGCUGCCUCUCUGCCGUUUCCUCCUCUCCCUCCCUCCCUCCGUCUCCUUCCCUCCAACUCCCGCGCAACUUAACAAAGACCGAUUGGAAUGCAGUUUGAGAUUCACGUCUUAGAAAACAAUGAACUUCGAGAGUGACGACAAAAAAAAAAAACGUAACAAUUCUGGCAUAAACGAAUUGUGAACUUAAAAACGAGAGAACAAAAUAUGACGUAAUGGUAAGCUGGUGACUUUUUUUCGUUGUAUGUGUGUGUGUGUGUGUGUGUGUGUGUGUGUGUGUGUGUGUGUGUGUACCGACGUAAUCUCUUUUCGUGUCAACUUACACAAUAGGAAAAUGGUAUGUGGUGAUGUAUACGUGCUCUGCGGGUGUCCAGGGGGAGGGAGGGGAGGGACAAGGAGCGUCUCGGGCACCUCUCAGCGCCGAGGCCGACCACGCUAAGCCGCCCCGCCGCCCCAGACACCGCCGAGAGUCCU